AUUGAACGCUGGCGGCAUGCCUUACACAUGCAAGUCGAACGGCAGCACGGGUGCUUGCACCUGGUGGCGAGUGGCGAACGGGUGAGUAAUACAUCGGAACAUGUCCUGUAGUGGGGGAUAGCCCGGCGAAAGCCGGAUUAAUACCGCAUACGAUCUACGGAUGAAAGCGGGGGACCUUCGGGCCUCGCGCUAUAGGGUUGGCCGAUGGCUGAUUAGCUAGUUGGUGGGGUAAAGGCCUACCAAGGCGACGAUCAGUAGCUGGUCUGAGAGGACGACCAGCCACACUGGGACUGAGACACGGCCCAGACUCCUACGGGAGGCAGCAGUGGGGAAUUUUGGACAAUGGGCGAAAGCCUGAUCCAGCAAUGCCGCGUGUGUGAAGAAAGCCUUCGGGUUGUAAAGCACUUUUGUCCGGAAAGAAAUCCUUGGCCCUAAUACGGUCGGGGGAUGACGGUACCGGAAGAAUAAGCACCAGCUAACUACGUG
rnacentral:rRNA from 1 species